rnacentral:lncRNA from 1 species
UGGGAAUACAGAAUUGACUAAAAGAUUCCAAUCUUCCCAGCCCGUGCUCCAAAUUCCUAUUGAAAUUGCCAAAAGAAUAUUAUAAUAAAAAUCCAUUAUUACUGGAAACCAGAGAAAGGUACCAUUCUCACACAAUAAACUUCAAGGAAUUCCUCUAAGCUAUAGUACAGGUGCAACUGGAUUGAGAGAAGGGCCCGCCUACACAGGUGUUUCCUGGGCAUUCAUUUUAUGCAUUUUCUACAGAUGAAAAGCUACCUUGGGACCAGCAGAAGUCACUCACAAGCAUGUCUAACUCAGAGCAGGUGGGAAGAUGAAUGGGGGAGACCUCAGUUCUGCUGGUGCUUCUGAUCAUGCAUUCGGUGCAGCAGGGAGGAAAAGGCUACUCAGGAGGAAGAGGCUGCUGCAGUGCUUUUACCAAAGAGGCCCUUCAGACACCUGAGAGAUGCGUCUGUGUGAGGAACGGAAGACUGCUCAUCCUGAAGGAAACAAUUAUACAGAGUAUCAGAGUUUAAUUUCACACUUGCCACACAGAAAGAAGGGCAUGAGUUAGCCUUUGCAAAGACCUUUCUCCCAGAAGUUUGCACGGGGAAACACAAUGAGGGGUGUGUUUAGCGCCAGUAGGUUCCUCUCCAGAGAACACUUUCUGAGUAAAACCUCCUAAUCUCAGUGGAGUCUUAUCUAAAAAUUGAGAAUGCUGUUUCCCAGGAGAACUGCCAAUUAUGUUACACAAACUUCUGUCUCAAACCAUAUUCAGGAUCAUUGUCUUUCUUACCAGGUUACAAAACACCUAUCAGGCUGAUGGUCCAAUCAUCUCACUUCAAGGGAAAAAAAAAAAAAAAAAACCAAUAUCUAAUCUACUGUUUUAGACCACAUCCUAAGCCAACCUCAUGUGCAUAAGAUGG